AUACGUAGGUGGCAAGCGUUGUCCGGAAUUAUUGGGCGUAAAGCGCAUGUAGGCGGUUUGGUAAGUCGGUCGUGAAAAUGCGGUGCUUAACGCCGUAUGGGGAUUGAAACUGCUGAACUUGAGUGCCGGAGAGGAAAGGGGAACUCCCAGUGCAGCGGGUAAAUGUGUAGAUAUUGGGAAGAACACCGGUGGCGAAGGCGCCUUUCUGGACUGUGUCUGACGCUCAGAUGCGAAAGCCAGGGUAGCGAACGGGAUUAGAUACCCCGGUAGUCCUGGCCGUAAACGAUGGGUACUAGGUGUGGGAGGUAUCGACUCCUUCCGUGCCGGAGUUAACGCAAUAAGUACCCCGCCUGGGGAGUACGGCCGCAAGGCUUAAACUCAAAUGAAUUGACGGGG
rnacentral:rRNA from 1 species